rnacentral:rRNA from 1 species
AUUGAACGCUGGCGGCAGGCCUAACACAUGCAAGUCGAGCGAGAAAGGUCUUCGGACUGAGUACAGCGGCGGACGGGUGAGUAAAGCGUAGGAAUCUACCUGGUAGUGGGGGAUAACUUGGGGAAACUCAAACUAAUACCGCAUACGCCUACGGGGAAAGCGGGGACCGUUCGGGCCUCGCGCUAUCAGAUGAGCCUGCGUAGGAUUAGCUAGUUGGUGAGGUAAAGGCUCACCAAGGCGACGAUCCUUAGCUGGUCUGAGAGGAUGAUCAGCCACACUGGGACUGAGACACGGCCCAGACUCCUACGGGAGGCAGCAGUGGGGAAUAUUGCGCAAUGGGCGAAAGCCUGACGCAGCCAUGCCGCGUGUGUGAAGAAGGCCUUAGGGUUGUAAAGCACUUUCAAUUGGGAAGAAAAGUUGGUCGUUAAUAGCGGCCAGCCCUGACAUUACCUUUAGAAGAAGGACCGGCUAACUCCGUGCCAGCAGCCGCGGUAAAGU